GCUUUGGGGACCAAGGGUUAGCGGCCCUCACGUAUAUAACGGGGCCAAGCAGCAGGGCUGGGCUGCAGGCUGCCUGCCGCUCACCCAGCAGGGCUGACCCGGCCCCGGACAGCAGCGCUCGGGAGGCAGGAGCUGCAAGGGCUGCCACUCCCCCGCCCCGACAGGGCAGCGCACACCUGGGCACAGAUAAAGCAGCUCCCAAAACACAGCAGCUCCCCUCUGUGAGCGCAGCCCGCAGCAGGACACGCGCCCUGCUCUCCUAUCAGCACCGACCUGCUGCUACUCGGGCUCUGCAGCGGGGACGUCGCGCAGUGUUGGGAGCCAGCCAGGCUCAGAGCCCUUCUCURCAACAGCUCCUCCAGGAUGGCCACCUCCGGACAAGUGAUCAGAUGCAGAGCCGCUGUGGCCUGGGAGGUGGGCAAACCACUCUCUGUGGAGGAGGUGGAGGUUGCACCCCCCAGAGCGAGAGAAGUUCGUGUCAAG